GGGUUGUGAGGUUAAGUGACUAAGCGUACACGGUGGAUGCCUAGGCAGUCAGAGGCGAUGAAGGGCGUGCUAAUCUGCGAAAAGCGUCGGUAAGGUGAUAUGAACCGUUACAACCGGCGAUACCCGAAUGGGGAAACCCAGUGUGUUUCGACACACUAUCAUGUCAUGAAUACAUAGUGGCAUGAGGCGAACCGGGGGAACUGAAACAUCUAAGUACCCCGAGGAAAAGAAAUCAACCGAGAUUCCCCCAGUAGCGGCGAGCGAACGGGGAGGAGCCCAGAACCUGAAUCGGCUUGUGUGUUAGUGGAAGCGUCUGGAAAGUCGCGCAGUAAAGGGUGAUAGCCCCGUACACUAAAAUGCACAGGUCGUGAGUUCGAUGAGUAGGGCGGGACACGUGACAUCCUGUCUGAAUAUGGGGGGACCAUCCUCCAAGGCUAAAUACUCCUGACUGACCGAUAGUGAACCAGUACCGUGAGGGAAAGGCGAAAAGAACCCCGGCGAGGGGAGUGAAAUAGAACCUGAAACCGUGUACGUACAAGCAGUGGGAGCACCUUCGUGGUGUGACUGCGUACCUUUUGUAUAAUGGGUCAGCGACUUAUAUUUUGUAGCAAGGUUAACCGUAUAGGGGAGCCGUAGGGAAACCGAGUCUUAACUGGGCGAAUAGUUGCAAGGUAUAGACCCGAAACCCGGUGAUCUAGCCAUGGGCAGGUUGAAGGUUGGGUAACACUAACUGGAGGACCGAACCGACUAAUGUUGAAAAAUUAGCGGAUGACUUGUGGCUGGGGGUGAAAGGCCAAUCAAACCGGGAGAUAGCUGGUUCUCCCCGAAAGCUAUUUAGGUAGCGCCUCGUGAACUCAUCUUCGGGGGUAGAGCACUGUUUCGGCUAGGGGGCCAUCCCGGCUUACCAAACCGAUGCAAACUCCGAAUACCGAAGAAUGUUAUCACGGGAGACACACGGCGGGUGCUAACGUCCGUCGUGAAGAGGGAAACAACCCAGACCGCCAGCUAAGGUCCCAAAGUCAUGGUUAAGUGGGAAACGAUGUGGGAAGGCAUAGACAGCCAGGAUGUUGGCUUAGAAGCAGCCAUCAUUUAAAGAAAGCGUAAUAGCUCACUGGUCGAGUCGGCCUGCGCGGAAGAUGUAACGGGGCUAAACCAUGCACCGAAGCUGCGGCAGCGACGCUUAGGCGUUGUUGGGUAGGGGAGCGUUCUGUAAGCCGUUGAAGGUGGCCUGUGAGGGUUGCUGGAGGUAUCAGAAGUGCGAAUGCUGACAUAAGUAACGAUAAAGCGGGUGAAAAGCCCGCUCGCCGGAAGACCAAGGGUUCCUGUCCAACGUUAAUCGGGGCAGGGUGAGUCGACCCCUAAGGCGAGGCUGAAAAGCGUAGUCGAUGGGAAACAGGUUAAUAUUCCUGUACUUGGUGUUACUGCGAAGGGGGGACGGAGAAGGCUAGGCUAGCCGGGCGACGGUUGUCCCGGUUUAAGCGUGUAGGGGGUGUGACCUGGUAAAUCCGGUUGCAUAUCAACCCUGAGGCGUGAUGACGAUGCACUACGGUGCAGAAGUAGUUGAUGCCCUGCUUCCAGGAAAAGCCUCUAAGCUCCAGGUAACAUUGAAUCGUACCCCAAACCGACACAGGUGGUCAGGUAGAGAAUACCAAGGCGCUUGAGAGAACUCGGGUGAAGGAACUAGGCAAAAUGGUGCCGUAACUUCGGGAGAAGGCACGCUGGCAUGUAGGUGAAGUCCCUUGCGGAUGGAGCUGAAGCCAGUCGAAGAUACCAGCUGGCUGCAACUGUUUAAUAAAAACACAGCACUGUGCAAACACGAAAGUGGACGUAUACGGUGUGACGCCUGCCCGGUGCUGGAAGGUUAAUUGAUGGGGUCAGCCGCAAGGCGAAGCUCUUGAUCGAAGCCCCAGUAAACGGCGGCCGUAACUAUAACGGUCCUAAGGUAGCGAAAUUCCUUGUCGGGUAAGUUCCGACCUGCACGAAUGGCGUAAUGAUGGCCAGGCUGUCUCCACCCGAGACUCAGUGAAAUUGAACUCGCUGUGAAGAUGCAGUGUACCCGCGGCAAGACGGAAAGACCCCGUGAACCUUUACUAUAGCUUGACACUGAACAUUGAGCCUUGAUGUGUAGGAUAGGUGGGAGGCUUUGAAGCGUGGACGCCAGUCUGCGUGGAGCCAUCCUUGAAAUACCACCCUUUAAUGUUUGAUGUUCUAACUCGGCCCCAUAAUCUGGGGUGAGGACAGUGUCUGGUGGGUAGUUUGACUGGGGCGGUCUCCUCCCAAAGAGUAACGGAGGAGCACGAAGGUUAGCUAAUCACGGUCGGACAUCGUGAGGUUAGUGCAAAGGCAUAAGCUAGCUUGACUGCGAGAGUGACGGCUCGAGCAGGUACGAAAGUAGGUCUUAGUGAUCCGGUGGUUCUGAAUGGAAGGGCCAUCGCUCAACGGAUAAAAGGUACUCCGGGGAUAACAGGCUGAUACCGCCCAAGAGUUCAUAUCGACGGCGGUGUUUGGCACCUCGAUGUCGGCUCAUCACAUCCUGGGGCUGAAGUAGGUCCCAAGGGUAUGGCUGUUCGCCAUUUAAAGUGGUACGCGAGCUGGGUUUAGAACGUCGUGAGACAGUUCGGUCCCUAUCUGCCGUGGGCGUUGGAAGAUUGAGAGGGGUUGCUCCUAGUACGAGAGGACCGGAGUGAACGCACCACUGGUGUUCGGGUUGUCAUGCCAAUGGCAUUGCCCGGUAGCUAAGUGCGGAAAAGAUAAGCGCUGAAAGCAUCUAAGCGCGAAACUUGCCUCAAGAUGAGUCUUCCCUGGGCCUUUAAGGUCCCUGAAGGAACGUUUAAGACUAAGACGUUGAUAGGCUGGGUGUGUAAGUGCAGCGAUGCAUUGAGCUAACCAGUACUAAUGAUCCGUGAGGCUUAACCUUACAACACCGAAGGUGUUU
rnacentral:rRNA from 1 species